AUUGAACGCUGGCGGCAGGCUUAACACAUGCAAGUCGAGCGGAGUGAUGGUGCUUGCACUAUCACUUAGCGGCGGACGGGUGAGUAAUGCUUAGGAAUCUGCCUAUUAGUGGGGGACAACAUCUCGAAAGGGAUGCUAAUACCGCAUACGUCCUACGGGAGAAAGCAGGGGAUCACUUGUGACAUUGCGCUAAUAGAUGAGCCUAAGUCGGAUUAGCUAGUUGGUGGGGUAAAGGCCUACCAAGGCGACGAUCUGUAGCGGGUCUGAGAGGAUGAGCCGCCACACUGGGACUGAGACACGGCCCAGACUCCGACGGGAGGCAGCAGUGGGGAAUAUUGGACAAUGUGGGGAACCCUGAUCCAGCCAUGCCGCGUGUGUGAAGAAGGCCUUAUGGUUGUAAAGCACUUUAAGCGAGGAGGAGGCUCUUUUGGUUAAUACCCAAGAUGAGUGGACGUUACUCGCAGAAUAAGCACCGGCUAACUCUGUGCCAGCCGCCGCUGUAA
rnacentral:rRNA from 1 species